UGAGGAAUAUUGGUCAAUGGACGCAAGUCUGAACCAGCCAAGUAGCGUGCAGGAUGACGGCCCUAUGGGUUGUAAACUGCUUUUAUAUGGGGAUAAAGUGGGGAACGUGUUCCCUUUUGCAGGUACCAUAUGAAUAAGGACCGGCUAAUUCCGUGCCAGCAGCCGCGGUAAUACGGAAGGUUCGGGCGUUAUCCGGAUUUAUUGGGUUUAAAGGGAGCGUAGGCCGUUUGGUAAGCGUGUUGUGAAAUGUAGGAGCUCAACUUCUAGAUUGCAGCGCGAACUGUCAGACUUGAGUGCGCACAACGUAGGCGGAAGUCAUGGUGUAGCGGUGAAAUGCUUAGAUAUCAUGAAGAACUCCGAUUGCGAAGGCAGCUUACUGUAGCAUAACUGACGCUGAUGCUCGAAAGUGCGGGUAUCAAACAGG
rnacentral:rRNA from 1 species